rnacentral:lncRNA from 1 species
GGUUGCCUCAGGACUGUUGCUUAACUAUCUACUUUUAAUAGAAAUCUGACCACUGUGGCCUUUCUUUGCAUCAACAAAGACAUACCAUUUCGUGAGCUACUGAUCCCUUGAAACAAGUGAAGGCUUUUAAUGGUCCCCUACAUGGUUGAGACUUUUUUUUUUUUUUUUUUUUGAGAUAAUGAAAAUCAAAGGCUGGAGGAGUUUGUGGAAACGGGGAGAAAUGUCCCUAUUCUCCCACAGCCCCUGGGUACAGAGCAAUGGUGGACACAGAAACGACAACAACUCUGACCAAGGAAAGCUGGUCUGAGUCCCUGCGUCCCUGUGCUGGGCUGACUGCUGGCCGGGCAGCCAAGGCUUGACGAUGUUGCUCAUCCGUUCAGCAAUGAUUCAUUGAGCACCUCUUCAGCAAUUCUGCAAUUUUGUAAGGUUUUUUAUGACGACAUCCAUUUCUGAUACUAUCUGUGAUCAUUUGGAAUCUAUACUGAAGCUGUUGUUUCAAAACAUCAGACUGACCCACGGGAUGAACUUCAGGUUGAGUCCUAUAAUGAAGAGAUUGUUGACUCUGAAAUUAUUCUAAAACAUGCAGAAGAAGGAAAGUGUCAUGUUGCUGGACCAAAAUGGAAGUUUCAUGGCCACCUCCCAAGGUGGACGGACACUAGCCAUCCCACACACCAGAGCUUGACCCUCCAUCACUCUGUUCAGUGGGUGAAGUCUGGAAGCUGGUUGAGGACAAAGGGACUCUGAGUUACACAUGUGAACUUUUCUUACAGCAGAAGAGUAUAAAGGGAUCAGCCAAAGUAAGGAUUCAAGAAAUCCACCUGCACUGAAUGGGGAAUUGAAUUCUUGCACACUCCAGAGUGGGAUGGAAGCACGAAAUUGCUUUAAACUAUUUUUACAACUGGUCAGCCAUUGUGCUAGGUCUGAGAUUUUCCCUAGUUCAUGAAAGGUUUUUAAUAAUUCUGCACAUUUUUGGAACCACUCAGGGUAAG